ACAUUACAAAUGCCUUUCAGUUGUCUCUAUCUCUCCAGAUUUGAAUUCCGGAGGGUGCAGUUAUGUCUCUAAUAAUAAAUACAAUGCAUCACACAAAGUAAACAUGUCUCUCUUCCUGCCCUUGGAUAGAAGAAGGCAGCUUGGCUAGAGAGUCCUCUUCAAAGCAUUCUGCUGUCUGGGUCAUCUCCCUGGUCUCUGUAGGGGCUUCCCCAAAUCCCAGAAC
rnacentral:lncRNA from 1 species